UAUUCUGCCCUACAGGGAAGGAUGAGAAGCUUCGACUAAGGUUCGACUCGAGCGAAGCGAGAGAACGUUGCCGCAGGCAACGGCCCGAAGGGCGCGCUUCGCUUAGCGAGGCUACAAGUGGUGCCG
rnacentral:sRNA from 1 species